rnacentral:lncRNA from 1 species
GACAAAUGUGAUCUAAGCUUAGUCAGUUAUUGUGCUUUGCAUAAUUAUCUUCAUGUUGGUGUUUCCUGGCGUCAUCCAACUUGUAUAGGAUCGACAUUUCUGUCCCUCUUUCUUCAUCUUUCUUUUGAUUUCUGUCUUCAGGUGAAGAAGAUAAAGACAGAGCCUGUGUCGAGAUCUUUUCCUCAACCGGCUCCUUCUGGUGAUCCCGUCUCCAGACCUUUGCCCCAUCUUCCAGACAGAAGCUUGGGUGCUAGUGCACGGUUUCCUCCAAACACUCCAGACCAGAGCAUCAGCUCAAGUGUUUACAGCAUGAAGCCAAGUCCUCAGACCGUAAGCCCUGCCAGAUCCACAGAGAUCAGCCUCCAAGAAGAUGAAAGACCAAUAUCUCCCUUCUAUAUUAGGUAGGACCACUCGCAGUUUUUCUCACUCUUUCUUUCCGUUUCCCCACUUUUGCUGAAAAACAUGUUAUUGUGGAGCCAUGAAUGGGCUUUUUACAAUAUAUCUUCAAAAUGAAAAUGAUCUAGACAUUGUAUUGUGCAAACAAGGUCUCAAUAUACGCCCUCAGAUUUGUCACAACAACUUUGUUCUUGUACAUUCAGCAUCAAUAGGUGAUUAUGUGGUAGUACAGUAAAUGUCACAAAUGUUAUUUUGUUAGUGUCACGUCAGGGAUAUGUGCUAAUGGUUUCUGGUUGAAUUUCAGUCUGAGCGUGAUUGAUCUGGUCAAAAUAACCUCUCCUGUGGUUGUUUUCUCAGUUCCUUCAUUGUGUUGACUCAUUGUGUCACGUCAGGGAUAUGUGCUAAUGGUUUCUGGUUGAAUUCAGUCUGAGCGUGAUUGAUCUGGUCAAAAUAAACCUCUCCUGUGGUUGUUUUCUCAGUUCCUUCAUGUGUUGACUCAUUGCAUCAGCUCCGGUCCCGUCUUGUACCAUAGCAACUGACCCUUCACACAUUUCCCAUCACAUAGUUUACCCAGCCCUCACUCUCACUGGCUUUAGUGCUGUGAACAUGAGCCUUAAAGGAAUAGUUCACACAAAAAUGACAAUUCUGUUUAUUAUGUACUCACCCACAUGUCAUUACCAGCCCAUGUGACUUUGUGAGAAAAAGAGAAAUCUUAACUGAUCUGGGUUGUUUUUUCUAAAGUCUUUUUAUUGUUCUCCUCGCUCUGCAUUUCACUGUCAUUAAGGAAUGCAAGCAAAUAAUUUACGAGUGUAUUUUCUGGAACCUUUAACCUCUUGUUGGAGUGAGUUUAUGGUUGAACUGUGUUUGCCCACUUGGCAUCAUGUCAGAGAUGUUGUCGUUCGGUGAAUAAAUCAAUUCAGCCUAUAAAUCAAUUCAGCCUGCCAAUAUAGUCUUUUAUAGUUCUGGAGUUUUCUACUGCGACAACAGGUUAGAUCUAUUGAGAGAGAUGUAAUGUUACAUAUUGUACUACAUUAGUGUUCAAGUUUAGUUUUUGUUUAAAAAUAAAAAAAAAAAAAGACUCUCCCAGGAUGAUUUUAUUUGGUAAAAAAAUAUUAAAAAUAAAAAUAUUGUGAAAUAUUAUUACAAUUUAAAUAACUGUAUAUAUUUUAAAAUCUAACUAUUUCUGUGAUAAAGCUGAGUUUUCAGCAUAAUUCCUCCAGUCUUCAGUGUCACAUGAUCCUUCAGAAAUCAUUCUAAUAAGCUGAUUUGCUGCUCAAGAAAUAUUUCUUAUUAUUAUCAAUGUUGAAAACUGUUCUACUGCUUCAUAUUUUUGUGGAUUCUUUGAUGAAUCAAAAGUUCAAAAGAACAGCAUUUAUUUGAAAUAGAUUUUUUUUAAUAUUAUAAAUGUCUUUACUGUCUUUUUUGACUGAUUUAUUGUAUCCUUGCUGAAUGAAAUAUUUAUUUAUUUUAAAAAAUCGUACUAAACCGUAAACUUUUCUAAGGUACUGAAAUUAUUCAUAAAAGAUGUAAAUUCUUAGUUAUAAAAAUUGAUUUUAAUUUAGACUAUUUAUUUGUAAAUUAGUAUUUUUUUAAUAUUAUAAAUGUCUUUACUGUCUUUUUGUACUGAUUUAUUGUAUCCUUGCUGAAUGAAAUAUUUAUUUAUUUUAAAAAAUCGUACUAAACCGUAAACUUUUCUAAGGUACUGAAAUUAUUCAUAAAAGAUGUAAAUUCUUAGUUAUAAAAAUUGAUUUUAAUUUAGAGUGUAUAUAUUAAGUUUGCCAUGUUUUUAUUUGUUAUUAUAUGACUUGUCAUAGCACUUGUAUACCGUUGUUGUUCUCUUGUUGAUCUGAUUGCUUCUAUUGUUCUCAUUUGUAAGUCGCUUUGGAUAAAAGCAUCUGCUAAAUGAUUAAAUGUAAAUGUAUUAUUUUAGGUAUCAAGCACAUCUUUAAUGUUGGCCUCUUUAAUCAUCGCCAGUCUCC